rnacentral:rRNA from 1 species
GGCGGACGGGUGAGUAACACGUGGGGACCUACCCUUCGGUGAGGAAUACCGGCGAGAAAUCGUCGACAAGACCGCAUGGGCUCGGGAGACCGAGCAAAGCUCUCUCGGGAGCGCCGGAGGAUGGACCUGCGGCCGAUUAGCUGGUUGGUGGGGUAAGAGCCCACCAAGGCUGCGAUCGGUAGCUGGUCUGAGAGGAUGAUCAGCCACACUGGGAUUGAGAACGGCCCAGACUCCUACGGGAGGCAGCAGUGAGGAAUUUUCGGCAAUGGGCGCAAGCCUGACCGAGCAACGCCGCUGUGCAGGACGAAGGUCUUCGGAUCGUAAACUGCUUUUCUCCGGGACGAGAUAUGGACGGUACCGGAGGAAGAAGCCCCGGUCUGACUACGUGCC